UACGUAGGGUCCGAGCGUUGUCCGGAAUUAUUGGGCGUAAAGGGCUCGUAGGCGGUUUGUUGCGUCGGGAGUGAAAACUUCGAGCUUAACUCGGAGCUUGCUUUCGAUACGGGCAGACUUGAGGCAUUCAGGGGGAGAACGGAAUUUCUGGUGUAGCGGUGAAAUGCGCAGAUAUCAGAAGGAACACCGGUGGCGAAAGCGGCUCACUGGACCAUAACUGACGCUGAUGCACGAAAGCUAGGGGGAGCAAACAGG
rnacentral:rRNA from 1 species